GACGAACGCUGGCGGCGUGCUUAACACAUGCAAGUCGAGCGGUAAGGCCCUUUCGGGGGUACACGAGCGGCGAACGGGUGAGUAACACGUGGGUGACCUGCCCUCAGCUCUGGGAUAAGCCCGGGAAACUGGGUCUAAUACCGGAUAUGACUCCAUGACGCAUGUUGUGGGGUGGAAAGCCUUGUGCGGCUGAGGAUGGGCCCGCGGCCUAUCAGCUUGUUGGUGGGGUGAUGGCCACCAAGGCGACGACGGGUAGCCGGCCUGAGAGGGCGACCGGCCACACUGGGACUGAGAUACGGCCCAGACUCCUACGGGAGGCAGCAGUGGGGAAUCUUGCGCAAUGGGCGAAAGCCUGACGCAGCGACGCCGCGUGAGGAUGAC
rnacentral:rRNA from 1 species